rnacentral:rRNA from 1 species
GAGCGGCAGCGCGGGGCAACCUGGCGGCGAGCGGCGAACGGGUGAGUAAUGUAUCGGAACGUGUCCUGAGAUGGGGGAUAGCCCGGUGAAAACCGGAUUAAUACCGCAUACGAUCGAGAGAUGAAAGUGGGGGACCGCAAGGCCUCACGUCUUAGGAGCGGCCGAUAUCAGAUUAGCUAGUUGGUGAGGUAAAGGCUCACCAAGGCUCCGAUCUGUAGCUGGUCUGAGAGGAUGAUCAGCCACACUGGGACUGAGACACGGCCCAGACUCCUACGGGAGGCAGCAGUGGGGAAUUUUGGACAAUGGGGGCAACCCUGAUCCAGCCAUUCCGCGUGAGUGAAGAAGGCCUUCGGGUUGUAAAGCUCUUUUGUCCGGGAAGAAACGGUUUUGGUUAAUAACCAAGACUACUGACGGUACCGGAAGAAUAAGGACCGGCUAACUACGUGCCAGCAGCCGCGGUAAUACGUAGGGUCCAAGCGUUAAUCGGAAUUACUGGGCGUAAAGCGUGCGCAGGCGGUUUUAUAAGCCAGAUGUGAAAUCCCCGGGCUUAACCUGGGAAUGGCAUUUGGGACUGUAAGGCUAGAGUACGGCAGAGGGGACUAGAAUUCCUGGUGUAGCAGUGAAAUGCGUAGAUAUCAGGAGGAAUACCGAUGGCGAAGGCAGGUCCCUGGGUCGAUACUGACGCUCAUGCACGAAAGCG